UUCGAGACCAACUUGGCCAACAUGAUGA
rnacentral:piRNA from 1 species